GGGGUGAGUAACACGUGGGCAAUCUGCCCUUCACUCUGGGACAAGCCCUGGAAACGGGGUCUAAUACCGGAUAACACUCUGUCCCUCAUGGGGCGGGGUUAAAAGCUCCGGCGGUGAAGGAUGAGCCCGCGGCCUAUCAGCUUGUUGGUGGGGUAAUGGCCUACCAAGGCGACGACGGGUAGCCGGCCUGAGAGGGCGACCGGCCACACUGGGACUGAGACACGGCCCAGACUCCUACGGGAGGCAGCAGUGGGGAAUAUUGCACAAUGGGCGAAAGCCUGAUGCAGCGACGCCGCGUGAGGGAUGACGGCCUUCGGGUUGUAAACCUCUUUCAGCAGGGAAGAAGCGAAAGUGAUGGUACCUGCAGAAGAAGCACCGGCUAACUACGUGCCAGCAGCCGCGGUAAUACGUAGGGUGCGAGCGUUGUCCGGAAUUAUUGGGCGUAAAGAGCUCGUAGGCGGCUUGUCACGUCGGAUGUGAAAGCUCGGGGCUUAACCCCGAGUCUGCAUUCGAUACGGGCUAGCUAGAGUGUGGUAGGGGAGAUCGGAAUUCCUGGUGUAGCGGUGAAAUGCGCAGAUAUCAGGAGGAACACCGGUGGCGAAGGCGGAUCUCUGGGCCAUUACUGACGCUGAGGAGCGAAAGCGUGGGGAGCGAACAGGAUUAGAUACCCUGGUAGUCCACGCCGUAAACGUUGGGAACUAGGUGUUGGCGACAUUCCACGUCGUCGGUGCCGCAGCUAACGCAUUAAGUUCCCCGCCUGGGGAGUACGGCCGCAAGGCUAAAACUCAAAGGAAUUGACGGGGGCCCGCACAAGCAGCGGAGCAUGUGGCUUAAUUCGACUACGCGAAGAACCUUACCAAGGCUUGACAUAUACCGGAAAGCAUCAGAGAUGGUGCCCCCCUUGUGGUCGGUAUACAGGUGGUGCAUGGCUGUCGUCAGCUCGUGUCGCGAGAUGUUGGGUUAAGUCCCGCAACGAGCGCAACCCUUGUUCUGUGUUGCCAGCAUGCCCUUCGGGGUGAUGGGGACUCACAGGAGACUGCCGGGGUCAACUCGGAGGAAGGUGGGGACGACGUCAAGUCAUCAUGCCCCUUAUGUCUUGGGCUGCACACGUGCUACAAUGGCCGGUACAAUGAGCUGCGAUGCCGCGAGGCGGAGCGAAUCUCAAAAAGCCGGUCUCAGUUCGGAUUGGGGUCUGCAACUCGACCCCAUGAAGUCGGAGUUGCUAGUAAUCGCAGAUCAGCAUUGCUGCGGUGAAUACGUUCCCGGGCCUUGUACACACCGCCCGUCACGUC
rnacentral:rRNA from 1 species